rnacentral:siRNA from 1 species
AGACGUCUACCAUUGCUGCCU